UCCCACUUCCAGCUGCUCUUGGAGAAGAGAAUCAGUGAAUUUUUACAUUGAAGAUGUUUUGACCCGAUGAAAAUUAUUUACUGAUGUCAAAUGUGAGAAGUAUACCAUUCCUCUAAGGAAUAGUUCAUUUCAACAACCAGUGAAAGAGUCUGGAUGCUUAAGUUUCCUGAUAUGUGUCUCAGGGUCAUUCACUGGUGAGAGAGACAGCAGAAUGGCAGUUGUACCUUCUGGACUAUUUCCUGGAAGAAGGGCCAACCCCCAGCUGGAGUCCUGAGAGGGCCUGGGAAGUCAGCAAGUAUGUAUUGAGGCCCUACAGAUGCAUGAUAGUAUAUAAUGGAGGG
rnacentral:lncRNA from 1 species